rnacentral:rRNA from 1 species
UACGUAGGGUGCGAGCGUUAAUCGGAAUUACUGGGCGUAAAGCGUGUGCAGGCGGUUCGUUGUGUCGGCGGUGAAAGCCCCGGGCUUAACCUGGGAAUGGCCGUUGAAACUGGCGAACUGGAGUGUGGCAGAGGGGGUGGAAUUCCGCGUGUAGCAGUGAAAUGCGUAGAUAUGUGGAGGAAUACCGAUGGCGAAGGCAGCCCCCUGGGAUAACACUGACGCUCAUGCACGAAAGCGUGGGGAGCAAACAGG